GAGUUGGCUCUGUCCUUAAAUUUUGCAGCAGGAGAAUUAUUGAGCUGUUCUUGGGAUGAUUUUUAGCCUAUGUAUGUCUACACUUAGGAGGCUGACAUCUUAUAAAUGCAUAUGGUUUUGUUCAAAUGAAUACGUAGUUGACAAAUACUUGGCUAGAAGUUAUAAUGACAAAUUUAAUAGCCCUACUAUAGCCUGAACUGUCAUCUUUAUUUGGGUUAAGCUUGCUAAAUGUCAACUGGAAUUUUGUACUAUAAUAACCUGCAACUUGGUUCCAAAAUCAGCCAUGUUUUUGACAAAUAUGCUUUCCUGGCUGAAAACCAUGAAUGACCCAGAAUAGUUCAUAUCUUUGGAAGAUCCUUAUUUUCCUUGUAAAUGAAAGUCAUGCAUUUGGAAUAAUAACAUGAAAUGAUGUGAAUGGUAGGGACUCAAAAACUUUCUCUUCCAAAAAUAUUCUACAGAUUCAUGCUCAGGAAAGCCAAAUGCUCUACAAUAGGAUGAAGUGGCUCCAGGAGAGUUCUGUUUACUACUUUAAUAAGUGACUAAAUAUAUGGUAUUUACGCAU
rnacentral:lncRNA from 1 species